rnacentral:tRNA from 1 species
GGAGAGAUGCUGGAGCGGCUGAACAGGGCAGCCUGCUAAGCUGUUGUGGGGCUUACGCCUCACCGAGGGUUCGAAUCCCUCUCUCUCCGCCA